rnacentral:lncRNA from 1 species
AUUCGAGCGCCUACAUCGGGAUCGGAUUCUCAACCAACAAUCAGAUGAUCGGAGCCAGCGCGGUCGUCGGGUGGAUACCUUCCGACGGCGGAAAUGGACAGGCGAAACCCUACUUUCUCGGAGGGCAAUCGCCCGGUGAGGUAAUACCUGACCAAGGAGAUCUGAAAAUCGUCAACGGCUCGUUGAAGAUCGAGUCAGUGUCGUCGCGUCUUUACCUGAGUUUCCAAUUGACGGCGGAGCUGCCUCGGCAGAGCAUUCUUUACGCAUUGGGACCUGCCGGAUUCUUUCCAUCUUCGCCGGAUUUUAGGUUGAGAGAGCAUCGCUUCAUGACCACCACGACCGUCGAUUAUGUUACAGGUAAGCA